GCCCGCCCCGCCUCGGCCCGCCGGGGCAAACGCUGCCCACCGCCCCAGCCCCGGCCCGGCCUGGCCCGGCCCGGCCCGGCGUGGUCGGGAAGGAGGCCGGGCGCCGACGUAUUUCGCCCGUGGAGAGCCAGGGGGGACGCUGAAGCCCGGCGUCGCAGCGGAGGGGCGCCUUCAAGUGCUGCCAGGGCUCCCUGGGGAGCCAGAUGGCAGCGAGAAGGGCGAGUGGGACCGGGAGGUUUCUUCCUCCCGAGGAAGACAGGUUUGAGAACGUCUGUGGAUCCUUGGAUACACCACUGGUGCAGAGGUUCUGCAGAGGAAGCCACAACUGGCCCGGUUGCCCUUCUAGCAGCACCAAGGAAGGAAACAGAAGAUGGGUCUCCCAUGUUGAGGCGCCCCCUACCAGGGCAAGGUGAGCCCAAGAAUUACACAGGCAGAACCCUCAACAAGAGCAGGGUUUCCUGGAACGUCUGGAGCAGCAACUCUUGACAGUUUAAAGCCCGUUUUCCCUACCACCUCCACCUCCAACCCUCAGGAAUGGAAAGAUCUUUCUGAGAAGAGGGCUGAUAUCUGUUCAAAAUGUAUUUCUGCUGACCACUGACAUCUGAUGAGAGGGUGAGGGGUAGCCUCUAUCACAAAGCUGUAGGACCUAGAGCUGGGGGGAGGGGGUCUUGGGGCUUCACCGCACUAGCCCUGCCUUUUGGGCUCCAUUUACCAGUCAGGCUGAGGCCCAGGAGACAACGACCUGUCCAGAGAUGGCUGUGUACCCUGGAGUGGAGCCUGGAGUCCAGGCUAAGUCACGAGGGGGGGUGGGGGGGCAGGGUUCUGCCCAGCCCAUCCAGAGCUGGCAUUUGGAUCUCAGUUCUCUGACAACUGCUUGGGAAAAAGAGACCUUUUAAAAUAGUCCAUCUGCAAAUGGGCCCCUGUGAGGAGCCCUAUGGGAAAGAAGAGGAAGCUUUCAGGCCAGAAUGUGUAAGAACAAAGGGAAGAAACAAGCCUGUUGUGUACAGAGAGGCCACCUGGAGAGGUGGAGACCUGAGUCCAGUCCUGCACUGUGUUUUUCUGGGCCAGCUUCCUCUAGGUAAGGGAAGCAGCUGAAUGGAUUAAAUCAGCUUUCCCCAAGAAACUCUGGGAUAGAGUGAAAGUGCAUCAGGAAUUCAUAACCUUUCAUUUGGCUUCACUUUAAAAAUUUUGUCUUAGAACUUCUAAUAAAUGUUAGCGGAAACAUGUGUUAUAUGCCAAAAGUGUUGGAGCCCACUGAUGUACAGUUGACCCUUGAAUAACAUGGGUUUGAACCGUACAGGUCUGCUUAUACAUGCAUUUUUUUUAGAUACAGUGCAACACUCUAUCUGUAAUUUCUCAUCCUUAAGAUUUUUUCUUUUUAAAAAAAAUUUUAAAAGGUU